rnacentral:lncRNA from 1 species
CUCGAGGUAGUCGGUUUUCAAAAUAGAGUUUCCGUGUGGGAAACAGUUUUCAAAAGAUUUUUGAAUGAUUUUCAUGUAUGAAUGAAUUAGAUUUUAAAAACAAAAGCUUCUGUGUGGGGAGCACUUUUAAAUAGGAUGAUUGUUGUACUGUGCAUUGCAUCAUCCAACGUCUAAGGAGUGUUUAGAGGCAUGCAUCAUCUCUAAGGAUUGUUAGCUGUAUGAAAAUGUAUAACAUGAAUUGGUUGCUGAUUGGUAAAUGUAGGUUGUGGUUGUGAUCCUGUUGUAUCCGUUGGUACGCCGUGCAAAUACAAAGGAGACUCUGUCCGAGUGAACGGAUGAACUUUGUAUUUGUGGCGGGUCUGUACGUCACGUGGGCCAGGUUGGAAAAAAAAA